CAAUAGCGUAUAUUUAAGUUGCUGCAGUUAAAAAGCUCGUAGUUGGAUUUCGGGUGGGAAUGGCCGGUCCGCCGUUUCGGUGUGCACUUGCUACGCCCACCUUGCUGCCGGGGACGUGCUCUUGAGUUCACGCUCGGGACACGGAGUCGGCGAGGUUACUUUGAGUAAAUUAGAGUGUUCAAAGCAGGCCUACGCUCUGAAUACAUUAGCAUGGAAUAACACGAUAGGACUCUGGCCUAUCUUGUUGGUCUGUAGGACCGGAGUAAUGAUUAAGAGGGACAGUCGGGGGCACUCGUAUUUCAUUGUCAGAGGUUAAAUUCUUGGAUUUAUGAAAGACGAACUACUGCGAAAGCAUUUGCCAAGGAUGUUUUCAUUAA
rnacentral:rRNA from 1 species